UACGGGAGGAGCGAGCAUUAUUCGGAAUGAUUAGGCGUAAAGGGUUUGUAGGUGGUUUUUUAAGUUGAAAAAAACAAAUUAAAGCUCAACUUUAUAAAUUUUUUCAAAACUGAAAAACUUGAGUAUAAAUAGAGGAUAAUGGAAUUUCUAUUGGAGGGAUAAAAUGCUCAAAUAUAUAGAGGAACACCAAUUGGCGAAGGCAGUUAACUAUUCGGUUCCUGACGUUGAGGCACGAAAGCGUGGGGAGCAAGACGG
rnacentral:rRNA from 1 species